rnacentral:tRNA from 1 species
UCUCUGGUGGCUCAGAGGUUAAAGCGUCUGCCUGUAGUGUAGGAGACCUGGGUUCGAUCCCUGGGUUGGGAA